CCUACGGGGGGCAGCAGUGGGGAAUAUUGGACAAUGGGCGCAAGCCUGACCCAGCAACGCCGCGUGAAGGAAGAAGGCUUUCGGGUUGUAAACUUCUUUUCAUAGGGACGAAACAAGUGACGGUACCUGAGGAAGAAGCCACGGCUAACUACGUGCCAGCAGCCGCGGUAAUACGUAGGGGGCAAGCGUUAUCCGGAUUUACUGGGUGUAAAGGGCGAGUAGGCGGGAAGGCAAGUCAGAUGUGAAAACCAUGGGCUCAACUUGUGGCCUGCAUUUGAAACUGUGUUUCUUGAGUACUGGAGAGGAAGACGGAAUUCCUAGUGUAGCGGUGAAAUGCGUAGAUAUUAGGAAGAACACCAGUGGCGAAGGCGGUCUGCUGGACAGCAACUGACGCUGAGGCGCGAAAGCGUGGGGAGCAAACAGGAUUAGAUACCCUUGUAGUC
rnacentral:rRNA from 1 species